AUCCAGCUGACUAGUCGCAAAUAGGACGAAACCUGUGUUCUAGAU
rfam:Schistosoma mansoni strain Puerto Rico chromosome 6, complete genome